GUGCCAGCAGCCGCGGUAAAACGUAGGUGGCGAGCGUUAUCCGGAUUUACUGGGCGUAAAGCGUGUGCAGGUGGCCUGUUAAGUGGUGUAUGAAAUCGCCCGGCUCAACCGGGCGGGGUUAUGCCAGACUGGCAGGCUAGAGGGUGGGAGAGGGAUGUGGAAUUCCGGGUGUAGUGGUGAAAUGCGUAGAGAUCCGGAGGAACCCCAGAGGCGAAGGCGGCAUCCUGGCCCACGACUGACACUCAGACACGACAGCAUGGGGAGCGAACGGGAUUAGAUACCCCCGUAGUCC
rnacentral:rRNA from 1 species